rnacentral:rRNA from 1 species
UACGUAGGGGGGCAAGCGUUUGUCCGGAUUUAUUGGGCGUAAAGAGCUUGUAGGUGGUUUGUCGCGUCUGCUGUGAAAAUCCGAGGCUCAACCUCGGACUUGCAGUGGGUACGGGCAGACUAGAGUGUGGUAGGGGAGACUGGAAUUCCUGGUGUAGCGGUGAAAUGCGCAGAUAUCAGGAAGAACACCCGUGGCGAAGGCGGCUCUCUGGGACGGUACUGACGGCUGAGACGCGAAAGCGUGGGGAGCGAACAGGG